rnacentral:rRNA from 1 species
UAGGGAAUCUUCCGCAAUGGGCGAAAGCCUGACGGAGCAACGCCGCGUGAGUGAUGAAGGUCUUCGGAGCGUAAAACUCUGUUAUUAGGGAAGAACAAAUGUGUAAGUAACUAUGCACGUCUUGACGGUACCUAAUCAGAAAGCCACGGCUAACUACGUGCCAGCAGCCGCGGGAAUACGUAGGUGGCACGCGUUAUCCGGAAUUAUUGUGCGUAAAGCGCGCGUAGGCGGUUUUUUAAGUCUGAUGUGAAAGCCCACGGCUCAACCGUGGAGGGUCAUUGGAAACUGGAAACCUUGAGUGCAGAAGAGGAACGUGGGAUUCCAUGUGUAGCGGUGAAAUGCGCAGAGCUAUGGAGGAACACCAGUGGCGCAGGCGACUUUCUGGUCUGUAACUCACGCUGAUGUGCGAAAGCGUGGGGAUCAAACAGG